rnacentral:misc_RNA from 1 species
AUUGGUACGUGAAGAACUCAAAUGUGGCGCUUGUGUCGGCUCUGCAACACGAAAUCGUUCGAGCCGCUGUUCUUCACGCUUUUUCGCUGUAACACCUCGUUGUAAUUUUAUUUCUCAUCUCACGGUGCUGCCCAAAAUUUUAUUGGAAAUAGAAAAUGGAAGAAUAUGCAAGAGAGCCUUGUCCAUGGCGUAUAGUUGAUGACUGUGGCGGUGCAUUCACAAUGGGCGCGAUAGGAGGUGCUGUGUUCCAAAGCAUAAAAGGAUUUCGCAAUGCUCCGAGCGGUUUGAACAAAAGAUUUUUGGGAAGUUUGAUGGCAAUAAAGCAAAGAUCACCCAUAAUAGCAGGAAACUUUGCCGUAUGGGGAGGAAUGUUUUCAACGAUCGAUUGCACUCUGGUACACUUUAGGAAGAAAGAAGAUCCGUGGAAUUCUAUUAUAAGCGGAGCAGCAACAGGCGGAAUAUUGGCAGCAAGAAAUGGUUUGCCCGCAAUGGCAGGCAGCGCGGUCAUUGGAGGAAUGCUUCUGGCACUGAUAGAAGGAGUUGGCAUACUUUUCACUCGUCUCUCUGCUGAACAAUUCAAACCCCCGAGUUUGGUUGUCGAUGAUCCUUCGCAGCUUGGCCCACCACCACAAAAUUAUCCCUCAUAGACACGAAUGAACCAAUGAAUGAUUAACUCUAGAAUAUUUUACAAAUUAGGAGUUUGACCUGUAGGCACUCGAAUGAAGCAGAUAUUCCAAAUGAAAGACAGUUCCAGUGAUAACCAAUAUGUAAAUAUCAUUCAUGCUAAGAAUUAAAAUAAUUUAAAAAAAGAAAUGAAGUAAAUAGUAGUGGGAAAAUGAUUAUUCACAUCAUCAGUUAUGAAAUAAUGAUAAGAAGAAGAAGGUUCAACGAAUAGUUUUGAAUCAUUGAUGAUCAUCUUCAUCCUCUUCCUCUUCAUCGGUAUCUUGUUUUUUUAAGACUGGUAUUGACAGAUCUAAUUUUUCACAAAUUUGUAGUUUUGACGAUUCUAUUUUUGGUGUUUCAUUAACGUUUGACUGGUUUUCUUUUUCUCUCUUGAGGCUUGCCAGUUCCAUUUGUUCUACCUGUAACCAACGAAAGAACACAUUUUUAAAAAAUAUUAAACGACUAAUAAAUCAUAAUAAAUAAC